UAAGCGGAGGAAAAGAAACUAACAAGGAUUCCCCUAGUAACGGCGAGUGAAGCGGGAAAAGCUCAAAUUUGUAAUCUGAUGCCUUCGGUAUCCGAGUUGUAAUCUCGAGAAGUAUUUUCCGCGCUGGACCGCACAUAAGUCUGUUGGAACACAGCGUCAUAGUGGUGAGAACCCCGUAUAUGGUGCGGAUGCCCAGUGCUUUGUGAUAUACUUUCGAAGAGUCGAGUUGUUUGGGAAUGCAGCUCAAAUUGGGUGGUAAAUUCCAUCUAAAGCUAAAUAUUGGCGAGAGACCGAUAGCGAACAAGUACCGUGAGGGAAAGAUGAAAAGCACUUUGGAAAGAGAGUUAACAGUACGUGAAAUUGUUGGAAGGGAAACGCUUGAAGUCAGACUUGCAUUUUGGAGUUCAGCCGCAAGGUGUAUUCUUCGAUUCGCAGGCCAGCAUCAGUUUUCGGGGGUGGAAAAUCGUGGUUUGAAGGUAGCAGUCUCGGCUGUGUUAUAGCUUUCCACUGGAUUCACUUUUGGGGACUGAGGAACGCAGUACGCUUUUUGCAAGACUUUCGAGUUUUUCGUACUUAGGAUGCUGGUGGAAUGGCUUUAAACGACCCGUCUUGAAACACG
rnacentral:rRNA from 1 species